UACAGAGGUGCCAAGCGUUAGGCGGAAUCACUGGGCUUAAAGCGCGUGUAGGCGGGUCGUUAAGUGUCCGAGUGAAAUCCCACGGCUCAACCGUGGAACUGCCGGGCAUACUGGCGAUCUUGAGGCAUUCAGGGGCGAGCGGAACAAAUGGUGGAGCGGUGAAAUGCGUAGAUAUCAGGAGGAACACCGGUGGCGAAGGCGGCGACCUGGGUAGAUACUGACGCUGAGGCGCGAAAGCGUGGGGAGCGAACAGG
rnacentral:rRNA from 1 species